rnacentral:rRNA from 1 species
AGAGCGAACGCUGGCGGCAGGCCUAACACAUGCAAGUCGAACGGACCCUUCGGGGUUAGUGGCGGACGGGUGAGUAACACGUGGGAACGUGCCUUUUGGUUCGGAAUAGCUCCUGGAAACGGGUGGUAAUGCCGAAUGUGCCCUUCGGGGGAAAGAUUUAUCGCCAUUAGAGCGGCCCGCGUCUGAUUAGCUAGUUGGUGAGGUAAGGGCUCACCAAGGCUACGAUCAGUAGCUGGUCUGAGAGGAUGACCAGCCACAUUGGGACUGAGACACGGCCCAAACUCCUACGGGAGGCAGCAGGUGGGGAAU